CCUACGGGAGGCAGCAGGGAGGAAUAUUGGUCAAUGGCCGGAAGGCUGAACCAGCCAAGUCGCGUGAAGGAAGAAGGAGCUAUGGUUUGUAAACUUCUUUUAUAGGGGAAUAAAGGUAUCCACGUGUGGAUAUUUGCAUGUACCCUAUGAAUAAGCAUCGGCUAACUCCGUGCCAGCAGCCGCGGUAAUACGGAGGAUGCGAGCGUUAUCCGGAUUUAUUGGGUUUAAAGGGUGCGUAGGUUGUUUUUUAAGGCAGCGGUGAAAGUUUGUGGCUCCACCCUAAAAUUGCCGUUGAAACUGGCAUCCUUGCGUGUGUUUGCGGUAGGCUGCCUGCGUGGUGUAGCGGUGCACUGCAUAGCUCUCACGC
rnacentral:rRNA from 1 species